rfam:Brachypodium distachyon strain Bd21 chromosome 3, whole genome shotgun sequence.
GAACUACUUCCUCCGAUCCAUAUUAACUGUCUCAAAUUUGCUAAAAUAUGGAUGUAUUUAUGCCUUAAAAACAUCUAAAUGCAUGUAAUAUUUUAACAAUUAAUAUGGAUCGGAGGGAGUAUUGU